rnacentral:rRNA from 1 species
UACGGAGGAUGCGAGCGUUAUCCGGAUUUAUUGGGUUUAAAGGGUGCGUAGGCGGAUUUUUAAGUCAGCGGUAAAAUUGCGGUGCUCAACGCCGUAGAGCCGUUGAAACUGGGGUUCUUGAGUGAGCGAGAAGUAUGCGGAAUGCGUGGUGUAGCGGUGAAAUGCAUAGAUAUCACGCAGAACCCCGAUUGCGAAGGCAGCAUACCGGCGCUCAACUGACGCUCAUGCACGAAAGCGUGGGUAUCGAACAGG